GGGAUGGCAGCCUACCCUGUGGCAACGCGGGAGUCGCGUUGCCGCAGGGGGCGCAUUGGGGUCCAGCCGUCCCCAGAACGCAGAUCAGAGGUAGUCGGACCUUUCCCGCUGGCGCGCAGCCUCAGCUAGGGCACACAGAGUGAACAGAAAAAGAGGAUACCUCUGCGAUCCCGGGUCAUCUCCAGAUGCUAGGGUUAUGGUUUAUUCUAGUGGGCCCAACCUCUGAGACCAUCCUUGAACAUCAGUAGACUGUGAGUUGUACAUGGGCGAGAGCAGCUUCGCCAACCCCUGCAAAGUGACUCUGAAGAAGAUGACAAUACCUGCUUCAGUCACACCCGGAAGCUGACUGGUCCACGCAUGGCCAAAGCAUGAGAAAACUCAUUGCGGGACUCAUUUUCCUUAAAAUUUGGACUUAUACCAUAGGGACUUCAACUGACCUUCCUCAGACUGAAGACUAUUCCCAGUAUAUACGUCAAGUCACUGAGGUAGGAAAAAAGUUGCUACAGUCCUAUUAUUUUAUGGUUAUUAUAAGUAUACCAGGACUCUAAAAAGAACUUGUUUGUAUAAUGCUAUUCUAUACAAGGUAUGUAGCCCAGGAAAUGACCAACCUGAUGUGUGUUAUGACCCAUCUGAGCCUCCCAUGACCACAGUUUUUAAGAUUAAGGACUGAAACCUGGUGGGGGCUCAUAAACGAUAUGAGUAAAGUGUUAGCCAAAACAAAAGAAAAAGGGGUGCCCAAACAAGUCACCUUGAAGUUUGAUGCCUGUGUUGUCAUUAAUAGUAAUAAGUUAGGAAUAGGAUGUGGUUCUCUUAAUUAGGAAAAAGGCUAUAUGGCAAAAAAAAAAAAAAAGUACAUUUGUCAUAAAUUAGGACUGUAUGGAAAUGAACGUGCAUACUGGUCUUGUGUCAUUUCGGCUACUUGGAUAAAAAAUGAAAAGGAUCCCGUCCACCUUCAGAAAGGGAAAAGUGGCCCUUCCUGUACAAGUGGUCAGUGUAACCCCUUAGAACUAGUAAUAACCAACCCCCUUGAUCCUCACUGGAAAAAAGGGGAGCGUGUAACCCUAGGAAUUGAGGGGGCUGGACUGGAUCCUCGAGUAAAUAUCAUGGCUUGAGGAGAAGUUUAUAAACGCUCUCCUGAGCCAGUAUCUCAACCCUUCUACGAUUAACUGAAUGUGUCAGUACCAGAAAUUCCAGGAAAAACAAGAAAUUUGUUUUUACAAUUAGCUGAGCAUGUAGCCUAGUCUCUCAGUUUCACUUCAUGUUAUGUAUGUGGAGGAACUAUAAUGGGAGAUCAAUGGCCAUGGGAAGCCUGAGAAUUAGUACCUACAGACCCAGUUCCUGAUGAAUCCCCAGUUCAAAAGAAUCACCCUGAUAACUUCUGGGUCCUAAAAGCCUCAAUUAUUAGACAAUACUGUAUAGCAAGAGUGGGGAAGGACUUCAACCUUCCUGUGGGAAGACUCAACUGCCUUGAGCAAAAACUGUAUAAUAUUACUACAAAAACAGCCACCUAGUGGAGUUCAAACCACACUAAGAAAAAUCCAUUUAGUAAAUUCCCAAAGUUGCAAACCAUGUGAACCCACCCAGAGUCCCACUGGGACUGGGCAGCCCCCACUGGAUUAUACUGGAUAUGUGGGCAUAGAGCUUACACCAAAUUACCCUACCAGUGGGCAGAUAGUUGUGUUAUUGGCACUAUUAAACCAUCUUUCUUCCUACUGCCCAUAAAGACAGGCAAACUCCUGGGCUUCCCUGUCUAUGCUUCCCACAAAAAGAGAAGCAUAGCUAUAGGAAAUUGGAAAGAUAAUGAAUGGCCCCCUGAGAGAAUCAUAUAAUAUUAUGGGCCCGCUACUUGGGCACAAGAUGGCUCGCGGUGAUAUGGGACCCCCAUUUACAUGCUGAACUGAAUCAUACGGUUACAAGCUGUCUUAGAAAUAAUCACUAAUAAGAUCGGCAGAGCCUUGACUAUUCUGACCCAGCAAGAAACUCAGAUGAGAAAUGCUGUCUAUCAAAAUAGAUUGGCUCUCGACUACUUGCUAGCAGCUGAAGGAGGGGUCUGUGGGAAAUUUAACCUUACUAAUUGCUGUCCCUUUUAAGGACAGGAAUUGUGUUGGAGAUGUGAGUCUUGCCAAAGCUCCCGGCCGAAUAAAGCCCUUCCUUAACUCGAUGUCUGAGGGGUUUUGUCUGUGGCUUGUCCUGCUACAAUGUUAGCUGUGAGUUUGUAGUAUAUGGCCUUUAUUAUUUUGAGGCAUGUUCCUUCUGUGCUUAGUUCUUUGAGAGUUUUUAUUAUGAAGGGAUGCUGAAUUUUAUGAAAUGUUUUUUCUGGGUCUAUUGAGAUCGUCAUGUGGGUUUUGUUCUUGAUUCUCUUAAUGCAAAGUAUCGUAUUUGUUGAUUUGCAUAUGUUGAGUUGUCCUUGCAUCUCUGGUAUAAAACCUACUUGAUUAUGGUGUA
rnacentral:lncRNA from 10 species